GGGCGUAAAGAGCUCGUAGGUCGUUUGUCGCGUCGAUUGUGAAAAUCUGAGGCUCAACCUCAGACCUGCAGUCGAUACGGGCAAACUAGAGUGUGGUAGGGGAGACUGGAAUUCCUGGUGUAGCGGUGGAAUGCGCAGAUAUCAGGAGGAACACCAAUGGCGAAGGCAGGUCUCUGGGCCAUAACUGACACCGAGGAGCGAAAGUGCGGGGAGCGAACAGGAUUAGAUACCCUGGUAGUCCGCACCGUAAACGGUGGGCACUAGUUGUGGGAACCUUCCACGGUUUCCGCGACGCAGCUAACGCAUUAAGUGCCCCGCCUGGGGAGUACGAUCGCAAGAUUAAAACUCAAAGGAAUUGACGGGGCCCCGCACAAGCAGCGGAGCAUGCGGCUUAAUUCGACGCAACGCGAAGAACCUUACCAAGGCUUGACAUAUAGCGAAAAGUGGCAGAGAUGUCAUGUCCGCAAGGGCGCUAUACAGGUGGUGCAUGGUUGUCGUCAGCUCGUGUCGUGAGAUGUUGGGUUAAGUCCCGCAACGAGCGCAACCCUCGUUCUGUGUUACCAGCAUUCAGUUGGGGACUCACAGGAGACUGCCGGGGUCAACUCGGAGGAAGGUAAU
rnacentral:rRNA from 1 species